UGGCUCGGCACUGGGAGGGGCCCGGCGCCCGCAGCCCCCCACGCCCAGAGAGGAUGCGGUGCGCCCUGAGAGCCGGGUAGCCUCGGAUAGCGGCGCUGCGUACGCGAUGAUGGAUGAGCCGUGGUGGGAAGGGCGCGUCGCCUCGGACGUCCACUGCACCCUGCGCGAGAAGGAACUGAAGCUGCCCAUCUUCCGAGCCCACUCCCCACUCCUGAAGAGCCGCCGGUUCUUCGUGGACAUCCUGACCCUGCUGAGCAGCCACUGCCAGCUCUGCCCUGCAGCCCGGCACCUGGCCGUCUACCUGCUGGACCACUUCAUGGAUCGCUACAAUGUCAGCACCUCCAAGCAGCUCUACACCGUGGCUGUCUCCUGCCUCCUGCUUGCAAACGGAGUUUUGCUCUUAUCGCCCAGGCGAGAGUGCAAUAGCACGAUCUCAGCUCAUUGCAACCUCCCAGGUUCAAGCAAUUCUCCUGCUUCAGCACCCCCCCGCUCCCCGUCCCACUGCCCCGAGUAGCUGAGACUAUAGGUAAGUUCGAGGAUCGGGAAGACCAUGUCCCCAAGUUGGAGCAAAUAAACAGCACGAGGAUCCUGAGCAGCCAGAACUUCACCCUCACCAAGAAGGAGCUGCUUGGCACAGAGCUGCUGCUCCUGGAGGCCUUCAGCUGGAACCUCUGCCUGCCCACGCCUGCCCACUUCCUGGACUACUACCUCUUGGCCUCCGUCAGCCAGAAGGACCACCACUGCCACACCUGGCCCACCACCUGCCCCCGCAAGACCAAAGAGUGCCUCAAGGAGUAUGCCCAUUACUUCCUAGAGGUCACCCUGCAAGAUCACGUGUUCUACAAAUUCCAGCCUUCUGUGGUCGCUGCAGCCUGUGUUGGGGCCUCUAGGAUUUGCCUGCAGCUUUCUCCCUACUGGACCAGAGACCUGCAGAGGAUCUCAAGCUAUUCCCUGGAACACCUCAGCACGUGUAUUGAAAUCCUGCUGGUAGUGUAUGACAACGUCCUCAAGGAUGCCGUAGCCGUCAAGAGCCAGGCCUUGGCGAUGGUGCCCGGCACACCCCCCACCCCCACCCAAGUGCUGUUCCAGCCACCAGCCUACCCGGCCCUCGGCCAGCCAGCGACCACCCUGGCACAGUUCCAGACCCCCGUGCAGGACCUAUGCUUGGCCUACCGGGACUCCUUGCAGGCCCACCGUUCAGGGAGCCUGCUUUCGGGGAGCACAGGCUCAUCCCUCCACACCCCGUACCCCCCUCUCCAGCCCCUGGAUAUGUGUCCCGUGCCCAUCCCUGCGUCCCUUAGCAUGCAGAUGGCCAUUGCAGCUGAGCCCAGGCACUGCCUCGCCACCACCUACGGAAGCAGCUACUUCAGUGGGAGCCACAUGUUCCCCACUGGCUGCUUUGACAGAUAGGCCACCUCCAGACCUCACGAGGAAGCCUUGGAGAUCUGGGCAGAGGAAGAGGACACUGAAGGGGAGAGCUCAACCAAGUGAGGCAGCAGGAGGCCAUCCCUGAAGAGCCUUGGAAUGUGGAGGGUCUGUGCUCCUUUUAAAUAAACCUGACCCAGAGCAAAACAUUCAAUAACAUACCUCACCCGAGAGCAUUCCUCUGAGAAACAUCUGCCACGUGUGACUGGGGUACAAAAGGAUGGCUUGGUGGCCGUCCCCCCACGCAGGGGCCAGUGAAUCAAGAAAGACUUGGUAAGAGGCCAGGAGAGUGGGAACUGGACACAGACCACUGAUCUCAAGCACGUCCAGUUUUUAGCAUUAAAGACUUCUCUACUCUUUGCUGAUGGCAGCUACACCACUGAAAAAGGAGGGGCAGCCUGGCGUGUUCUCAGGAGCCCCGGAGGAUGCCGUAUUGGGUGCUUUCCUUUCCCUGGCUCCGUGCAGAGGGGCCUGAGUGUGUGUGUAUGCCUGAGCAUUUGCCUUGCAAGGCACAGUGGGUGGCUGUCUUGCCUUUGUUUUUGAACCUAAAACCAUUUUCAGCCUUUUAGAUAAUUUCAUGUGCUGCUGCUUCCCGAAGUGGUCUCGCUUUCUGUUUCGUAAGAUGUCUUGUUUACACGCUGUAUCAGGGAUUUGGUGAUACUUGAAAAUUCCUUUGGAGAAAAAAACAAAUUUAAUCGCCACACUGCCUGUCCCACAUGAGGGCUGUUAAAUUGGAACCCAAGUUUGAACCCAACUUGUGACGGACCGGCAGGUAACCACAGAGCUUCCUUUUCGAAAGCAUAUGGUUGGAGAGAACCACUUUCCCAGCUCUCGGUUCCAGAAGAUUCCACGUCUUGGAGGCUGUGUUCACCUCUAGAACUUUAAUGACUACCCAGGGAGGGAGAAGCUCGUUGAAAGGAAGACAAAGAUUUAAACAAUUCCCACCUCUCUCCACCACAUACUUAACAGUGCAUGAGUUUAACCCAGUCUCGGCUUUGAGUGUGGCUGAUAGCGAAGGAUAGCAAUGUGGAAUAUUUGCUUAGUCCCACUGGAUUUGGGGUGUGGGAUGUACAUGGCAUAUUAUACCACCGUUGAUAGACAAGUGACUGGUUGGAUCAAAAGCCAGUAUUUAGGGAUCUGCAGUGAGGGGGCUCUCAGGAAGACUGUUGGAACCGUGUGCAAUAUGUUUUUUAUUCUGACUCGCAGCUUGUGCUUAGCAUGUUCUUUGGUUUAGUUUGGGGUUGGAGGACGCAUCGUUCACCCAUCAGAACUGGGAGAUGCAAAGGACUGGGGAAGCAAUUUUUGUUUUGUUUGAGGAAUACCUGUCUUGGUUUUCUUAGCCCCUUGCCAGUCCUGGAGACUGUGCUUGGGGCCGCCAGGAAGACAGCUGCAUGCUGCUGAGUCAGAUCUGAAGAUGGUGAAUCUUUCCAGAGCAAAUGAAAAUCUCAGCGUAGAGACAGUAAGCAAAGAGACGGGGUGUGGAUAAGACUCUGCCACCGUGUCACAUUAGCAUAGGAGACUGCACGUUUGUUUGUUGUUUUUCUUUUUUUCCUUUGCCAACCUCCCUUCUAUUUAUGUGCAAGCAGUUUGGAUUCAAGUUCUUGUGUCUGUUUGUUCUGGGGCCUGGGGAUCGUGAGGGUUCCCUCACAGCCAGCGCGGCACCCAGAAAGAGGUGUCCCACAAUAAACACGUCACCUGCUCUUGGUCUCUC